CCUACGGGAGUCAGCAGUGGGGAAUAUUGCACAAUGGGGGAAACCCUGAUGCAGCGACGCCGCGUGAGUGAAGAAGUAUCUCGGUACGUAAAGCUCUAUCAGCAGGGAAGAAAAUGGCGGUACCUGACUAAGCAGCCCCGGCUAACUACGUGCCAGCAGCCGCGGUGAUACGAAGGGGGCAAGCGUGAUCCGGAUUUACUGGGUGUAAAGGGAGCGUAGACGGCAGCACAAGUCUGGAGUGAAAUCCCGGGGCUUAACCCCGGAACUGCUUUGGAAACUGUGAGGCUGGAGUGCAGGAGGGGUAAGCGGAAUUCCUAGUGUAGCGGUGAAAUGCGUAGAUAUUAGGAGGAACACCGGUGGCGAAGUCGGCCAACUGGGCUUUAACUGACGCUGAGGCUCGAAAGUGUGGGGAGCAAACAGGAUUAGAUACCCGAGUAGUC
rnacentral:rRNA from 1 species